rnacentral:lncRNA from 1 species
UCCCCUAGCCCUGUGCCCAUCCCACUGUGUCACAGAAGACACAGUGUCACAGAAGACACAGUGUCACAGAAGACACUGGAAAGCCUUUCUCUGAGUCACAGUCUGUAUCUUCUAGAAAAGGCUGUCCAUCUUCACCCCAAGCCCACUGGCUCCUGAAACACAACAUCCAGACCCAGUGCAGCUGGACCUGGCCCAGACAAUUCUAGACUUCUUGGUCCAAGGGCUUUCCCGGAGAAAUAUCCUGAUGGCUGUGGGCCAAGACAGGGUUCCACUAAGCACUGGACUCACAGCACAACAGUGUGGCAGGCUGGAAUCUUCUUCAGAACGUCCUCAAUAUUCUUCCUUUUGAGCCUUUCCUGGCAGCGGUGGCCCCAACACCAGAGUGGAUGGGUAGCUUUGACUUCAG